rnacentral:rRNA from 1 species
AUUCCGGUUGAUCCUGCCGGAGGACAUUGCUAUUGGGAUUCGAUUUAGCCAUGCUAGUCGAACGAGUUCAGACUCGUGGCGAAUAGCUCAGUAACACGUGGCCAAGCUCCCCUUCAGUCAGCGAUACCCUCGGGAAACUGAGGUUAACAGCUGAUACAAAACGCCAGCUGGAAUGCGGCGUUUCAGAAAGACAUCGCUGAAGGAUGCGGCUGCGGCCGAUUAGGUAGACGGUGGGGUAACGGCCCACCGUGCCAGUAAUCGGUACGGGUGAUGAGAGUCAGAGCCCGGAGACGGAAUCUGAGACAAGAUUCCGGGCCCUACGGGGCGCAGCAGGCGCGAAACCUUUACACUGCACGGAAGUGCGAUAGGGGAAUCCCAAGUGCGAGGGCAUAUUAGCCCUCGCUUUUCUCGACUGUAAGGUGGUCGACGAAUAAGAGCUGGGCAAGACCGGUGCCAGCCGCCGCGGUAAUACCGGCAGCUCAAGUGAUGUCCCAUAUUAUUGGGCCUAAAGCGUCCGUAGCU